rnacentral:rRNA from 1 species
GAUGAACGCUAGCUACAGUCUUAACACAUGCAAGUCGAGGGCCCGGCGCACGGGUGAGUAACACGUAUCCAACCUGCCCUUUACUCGGGGCUAGCCUUUCGAAAGAAAGAUUAAUACCCGAUAUCAAGGAUGGGGAUGCUAUCCAUUAGGUUGUUUGUGAGGUAACGGCCCACCAAGCCUUCGAUGGAUAGGGGUUCGGAGAGGAAGGUCCGCCACAUUGGAACUGAGACACGGUCCAAACUCCUACGGGAGGCAGCAGUGAGGAAGAUUGGUCAAUGGGCGCUAGCCUGAACCAGCCAAGUAGCGUGAAGGAUGAAGGCUUAUGGGUCGUAAAUUUCUUUUAUAUAAGAAUAUGUAUUAUAUGAAGAAGGAUCGGCUAACUCCGUGCCAGCAGCCGCGGUAAUUC